rnacentral:lncRNA from 1 species
GUGGGCUGACAGAAAACACCAGAGGAAGAAGAUCGAUGGUCAGAAAAGACGCACAGUAGAAGAGGCCAAGAGCGAGAGCGAGAGUUGCAGUGGGUGUCGGCAAUGAUCUCCGCUUAGCACUGAGAGAGACCUCCAAAGGAAGUUUCGUCGGAGGUGGCUCCGACGAAGAUCUUUUCACGCUCAAAUCAGCAAGGCAGCUCAAU